GUGCCAUACAUGCAAGUCGAACGCACAGCGAAAGGUGCUUGCACCUUUCAAGUGAGUGGCGAACGGGUGAGUAACACGUGGACAACCUGCCUCAAGGCUGGGGAUAACAUUUGGAAACAGAUGCUAAUACCGAAUAAAACUUAGUGUCGCAUGACACAAAGUUAAAAGGCGCUUCGGCGUCACCUAGAGAUGGAUCCGCGGUGCAUUAGUUAGUUGGUGGGGUAAAGGCCUACCAAGACAAUGAUGCAUAGCCGAGUUGAGAGACUGAUCGGCCACAUUGGGACUGAGACACGGCCCAAACUCCUACGGGAGGCUGCAGUAGGGAAUCUUCCACAAUGGGCGAAAGCCUGAUGGAGCAACGCCGCGUGUGUGAUGAAGGCUUUCGGGUCGUAAAGCACUGUUGUAUGGGAAGAACAGCUAGAAUAGGAAAUGAUUUUAGUUUGACGGUACCAUACCAGAAAGGGACGGCUAAAUACGUGCCAGCAGCCGCGGUAAUACGUAUGUCCCGAGCGUUAUCCGGAUUUAUUGGGCGUAAAGCGAGCGCAGACGGUUUAUUAAGUCUGAUGUGAAAGCCCGGAGCUCAACUCCGGAAUGGCAUUGGAAACUGGUUAACUUGAGUGCAGUAGAGGUAAGUGGAACUCCAUGUGUAGCGGUGGAAUGCGUAGAUAUAUGGAAGAACACCAGUGGCGAAGGCGGCUUACUGGACUGCAACUGACGUUGAGGCUCGAAAGUGUGGGUAGCAAACAGGAUUAGAUACCCUGGUAGUCCACACCGUAAACGAUGAACACUAGGUGUUAGGAGGUUUCCGCCUCUUAGUGCCGAAGCUAACGCAUUAAGUGUUCCGCCUGGGGAGUACGACCGCAAGGUUGAAACUCAAAGGAAUUGACGGGGACCCGCACAAGCGGUGGAGCAUGUGGUUUAAUUCGAAGCAACGCGAAGAACCUUACCAGGUCUUGACAUCCUUUGAAGCUUUUAGAGAUAGAAGUGUUCUCUUCGGAGACAAAGUGACAGGUGGUGCAUGGUCGUCGUCAGCUCGUGUCCUGAGAUGUUGGGUUAAGUCCCGCAACGAGCGCAACCCUUAUUGUUAGUUGCCAGCAUUCAGAUGGG
rnacentral:rRNA from 1 species